rnacentral:rRNA from 1 species
UACGUAGGGGGCAAGCGUUGUCCGGAUUUAUUGGGCGUAAAGAGCGUGUAGGCGGUCUGGUAGGUCCGUUGUGAAAACUCGAGGCUCAACCUCGAGACGCCGAUGGAAACCAUCAGACUAGAGUCCGGAAGAGGAGAGUGGAAUUCCUGGUGUAGCGGUGGAAUGCGCAGAUAUCAGGAGGAACACCGGUGGCGAAGGCGGGUCUCUGGGCCAUUACUGACGCUGAGGAGCGAAAGCGUGGGGAGCGAACAGG